UGUGGGUAAGUGUAUGGUUUUUGGUUUCAUUGUUAGGCAUGUAACGUAUUUAUUGUGUAACCCGGGAUUUAUGUUGUAAUAAUGGUAAGCGUGACUACUAUAGGUUAAUGCAUCUUACGUGGGUUUAUUCAGCGCUACCAUCACCACGUCGCGCGCAGAUGAUGAAUCGCAUGGAAGCGUGUAGUGUGCCUUAGUAAUUUGAAUGAAUGAGAUCUUGCCUUUCAAAUUGUUUUUGUGUUCGCGCGGAGUAGUUCAAAUACCGCUUUUGUUCACGUUAGUCUUCCCUCUGGGCAUCAUCUUUUCUCUCUCUCCUGCAGAAAGACCUGGACAGAAGCUGCUGCUGUGAGGUGAGAUACAGCUUAAUCGCUUUAGAAUAUAUUUUGGCUUGUAAAACGCUUCUGUGAUGUUUUAGCACUGGGCUCUGAACUCCUGUGAAGACAACGUGCAGUUCUGCUCCUGACAUGGCAGAAUCUGAGAAAUUGGAAUCUGUGACCGUGGCCUGUGGAGGAGCUUCUGCGUUUCUACACUGUAUAAAGAUGAAUACAGUACAAAUGCUGGUGGUGUAAAUCUAUAAAGGUUUUACUUCGUGUUUGCUCCUUUUGUUUCACUAUUAAAUGAGACUUUGAAA